rnacentral:tRNA from 1 species
AAUUAAUAAGCUUUUAUAAGCAUUUGUUUUGAAAACUUAAGAAAGAAGAAUCUCUUCUAUUAAUUU